CAUCAUGAUGAAGUCAGAUGCUUAACCAAUGGAGCCACCCAGGUGCCCCGAGCAAGGGACCCAUGGCUGCAGAAAUGUUUGUGGAUCAUGCACAGUAGGAAUAAUUUUCAGAGGGAAUAUCAGGAGUUUGGUUCAAACCUGUUGAGUGUGAGAAGUUCCGGAGACUUCUGAGUGGAGGCAUUGAAUGGACGGCGAGAUGCCCAUGUCUGGAUUUGAGGGUAAGGGCUCAAGUUCCAGACACCACGAGGUGAUGUCCUAUAUGGGGACCAGGGUAGAGCUGUGAGUCACAUUUGGGAAGGGACAUCUUCAGGUCAUGGUGCCUGAGGGGCAGAGAAGGGGAGGACAAGGCCAGAGGACUGGGUCUGUACCUUGGGCACCUGAGUGGUGUUGGUGAGCAUCACAAAGACAGCUGAGGGAGGGUGGUGGCUGUGGGGGAGGAGGUGGGGCUUGUGGGGGUUUGAGGCUUCCACAGAGGAGUGCACAUGGGAUGGAUGUGGAAGCACAACAGUAACGGGAGAGAGAUGACAGUGAGGCCAAGGCCAGUGCUUCCUCAGCCCUCUGCGGGCUGGCCAGGCUUUUGUGGUGACCUUGUGGGGCCUGGAGAGGUUUACACAGGCUGGUAGACGAGCUCAGGAACACACAAGGCCAGGGGACAGUGGUGGGAGUGCUGGGUGAGGCUUGACUGGAAAGAGGGAGGCGGAGACUAGUGAGGGGACAGUGUGUGCAGCACAGCAGCACAAGGGCCUUAAGGUGUGGACCCCUGAAUGUGGUUCCAGUGGGUGAGGCCGAAGCAGGAAAGGAUGUGGUGCAGAGGCCUUUAAAGCAGGGCUGGGGGCUUCCCCUGCCAGUGUGGGCCACCCGGGGGCCAGCGCAGGAUGGAUCUUCAUUGUAUUUGCCAAGUGCUCUUUGGGUGCCAAGGGCAGAGUGGAACAUGGGGAGGCCAGGGACAUACCCUGGAUGGGGGCUGGGGUGGAGGAGGUGGCCGUGACCAUGGGGGUGAUGGAUGGGAGGGCAAUAUGGUCCAUGGAGUGAUAAGUCGGUGGAGAGAGGGAGAACUGAGGGUCCCAGGGCCUCACUCCUAGCAGCUUAAGGGAGAAAGCUGAACCCAUGUUUGCUUGUGUCUCAGAGGCAUGAUCUGGGAACCCCUGGGGAAUUUGCUGGCAGCAGAGGAGGUGGAGCCUUUCAUGCCAUGCCUGGUGCUUGAAUGACAUUUAUUUAUUUGCCAUCAUGCCUGUGUGGGAACGAUAUGAGGUGACACAGGAAUCAGUAAGAAGGAGGAGAGAGCUAGCACCAGGAGCAUCCGGGCCUUGUCGAUCCUGUGAGGGGAUGUGCAUGGAGUGGAUGUCUGGGGGGUAGACGGAGGGUCCCAGUGAGAGGUGGCUCAGGGCUACUGCUCUCCCCAUCAUGGUGGGCUGUUGUGACCUUGGAGGAUGUGGCUGUGGACUGGUCUCAGGAGGAGCGGGAGCUCCUUGACAGGGCUCAGAGACUCCUGUACCGUGCUCUGGUGCUAGAGAACUUUGCACUUGUGGCCUCACUGGGUAAGUCUUUCACACUCACCCCGGUGUCCUUGACCAGGCUCUUUCAUUCUUCGUUUCUGCUCUAAAUAAAAGAGCAUCCCCUAACAUUUAAUGUUUUGACGGCACAGUUUGCAUCUUUUUAUGUUGUAUAUCCAUUAACUAAGUUAUGUAGCUAUGAUUAUCUUUAAUACUUUUUUUCUUUUAACCCUUGUAUUAGAGUUAAGUGAUUUAUACAUCACUAUUACAGUAGUAGAGUAUUCUGAAUUUGACUACAUAUUUACCUUUACCAGUAGUUUGAUACUUUUAUAUGGUUUCAUGCUACUAAUUAGCAUCUGUUCAUUUCAGCUUGAAGAACUCCCUUUGGUGUUUCUUGUAGAGUAGGCCUAGCCGUCAUGGAUACACUCAGCCUUGUGUUUCUGGGAAAAUCUUUAUCUCUUCCUCAUUCUGAAGGACAGCUUUGCUGGGUAAAGUAUCAAUAUUGGUUAUCACAUGUUCCCCCAGCACUUUGAAUAUAUCAUCCUACUCUUUCCUGCAAGGUUUCUUUUGAGAAAUAGGGAUGUAGGUUUAUGUGGGUUCCUUUGGAUGAGAUGACCUUUUCCUUUGGCUGCCUUCAGAAUUCUGUUUUUGACUUUUGACGGUUUUAUUAUAAUACAGCUUGGUGAAGUUUUCUUUGGGUUUAAUCUAUAUGGGGACCUUUGAGCUUCCUGUACCUGAACAUCCAUAUCUCCUCCCUGAGAGGUUUUUAGCCAUUAUGUGUUAAAUAAGCUUUUUGCCUCCCUCUCUCUCUUUUUUUCUGUGAUUCCCAUAAUGCAAAUACUGUUUAUUUGUUGGUGUCCCAUAAUGCACAGAGGCCUUCUUCACUCUUUUUCAUUCUUUUUUUCUUUCUGAUAGGGGAAUUUCAAAUGACCAGUUUUUGAGUUCACAGAUUCUUUCUUCUGGUUGAUCAAGUCUGUUGUUGAUAACCUCUAUUGCCAUUUUCAUUUCAUUCAUUGUAUUCUUCAGCUCCAGAAUUUCUGUUUGUUUUAUUAUUAUUAUUUCAGUCUGUCUGUUGAACUUCGCAGUUUGCUCCUGUAUCAUUCUCUUGAAUUUAUUGAAUUUUCUGUGUUCUCUUAUAGAUUGCUGAGCUUCCUUAAAAUUUUGAAUUCAUUGUUCAGCAGUUCAUAAAUCUCCAUUUUUCCUCCUGGUCACUUAUCAGAAAUUACUGUGUCUCGUUUGAAGUGCGUGUUUCCUGUAGCCUGCAUUAGCAUCUGUUUAUUUGGUCGAAAGUCACCCCUUCCAGACUUUACAGACUGGUUUGCAUGGGAAAGACCUUCCCUGGUAGGUGAGUGCAAGGGUGCCCCCUGGGUGGGGUGUGGCGGUUCCAGCUCUGGGGAAGGCCCAGCUGCAUAGUCUCCACGAAGCUCUUUCAGUUGAGGCAGCGACAGUGAGGAUUGCCGCAGUCCUCAACAGCCAGUGUUGUAAGGUGUCCACAGGGCCGACGAAGACCACUGGGAUCUUUGGUGGCAAAAGUGCUGAGGACCACCUCGUCUCUUUUCCUCUCA